rnacentral:rRNA from 1 species
AUCUAUGGCUAGCCCACCCUGAAUGCACCUGAUCUCCUCUGAUAUUGGAAGCUAAGCAGGGUUGGUCCUGGUUAGUACUUGGAAGAGAGAAAUGGGUUGAAUCUGAUUUAAAAAAAAUGUUUUCAGGAGGCUAGGUA